GCCCUGUCACACCUGCCUCGCACUUUGUCCCUGCCGUGGCAGCCUGGUGGCACUGGGUGGAUCCAGGUGCCGCUACCGCCCAUCCCACAUGUCCCUCCCGACCCUGGGUGGAUCCAGGUGCCACUGCUGCCCAUCCCACAUGUCCCUCCCGACCCUGGGUGGAUCCAGGUGCCACUGCCGCCCGUCCCACAUGUCCCUCCCGACCCUGGGUGGAUCCAGGUGCCGCUGCUCAGGGACAUGGCACCCCCGUGCACCCCUGGGCUCUCCAGGGCAGGCAGGUCCGUGUCCUCCUAACAGUGCACGAUCUCUGGAGAGAUGGAAAAUUCAAGUUUUGGCAUGAAAUAAGGAUUUUUGACAGCCACUGGCCAGAUGGGAAAUACUUUGUUGCCCAUGGAUGCUGGGAAAAGCUGGUGGCCUAGAAGAGACAAUCAGUAACUACAAUUUGUUUCCCAACAGCAAGGGUGGGCUCUCGGGGACCCUGGGCUUUGGGAAAAAGGAAUUCCCGGGUCAGAACUCCUGGACCUGAACACAGAAAGGAAAACCAGGUUGGGCUGCUGCCCAACCUUUGUACCACCACAUGCCAAAGCCUGCAGGCAUCUCCAGUGUGGGGCCUGCUGCUCAUUCCCAGAUAUCCCAGUGUGGGGAAAAACACCUCAUUCAGGGCUUUAGUGUUGGGAAGUGAUUUUUGGUCCCUGCUGAGAGAUGUCCCUGGGCAGUUGUGUGGCUGCAGGGUUUGCUUGCUGGAGACAGCACUCUCCAGAGCCCACGGAGCAGGGAUUAGGGCUGGACAAGAUGGAUGAGUUUUAAACAGAGCAAAGCUUUUUAAAACUCACUGGGAAAUCUCCUGCAUCUCCGUAAACAUCAUUCCCUGCUCCCAUUUGCAAGGAUUUUUCAAAGCCCCUUUGAUCUUCUGUUCCUCACAGAGAGGGGGAAGGGAAAAAAAAAAUUAAAAUUAUAGAUCCUAAGCUUCUUGGAUAAA